GACGAACGCUGGCGGCGUGCUUAACACAUGCAAGUCGAGCGGUAAGGCCCUUUCGGGGGUACACGAGCGGCGAACGGGUGAGUAACACGUGGGUGACCUGCCCUCAGCUCUGGGAUAAGCCCGGGAAACUGGGUCUAAUACUGGAUAUGACUCCAUGACGCAUGUUGUGGGGUGGAAAGCCUUGUGCGGCUGGGGAUGGGCCCGCGGCCUAUCAGCUUGUUGGUGGGGUGAUGGCCUACCAAGGCGACGACGGGUAGCCGGCCUGAGAGGGCGACCGGCCACACUGGGACUGAGACACGGCCCAGACUCCUACGGGAGGCAGCAGUGGGGAAUCUUGCGCAAUGGGCGAAAGCCUGACGCAGCGACGCCGCGUGAGGGAUGAC
rnacentral:rRNA from 1 species